UUAAAUUGAUUAGUAUCACAAACAAAUUAGUCUUCACAAUUAGUUUGAUCAAUAUUUUGGUUUUAAAAAAUAUUAUUUUUGAAACCAUAGAGAUAAUCUAGUUGGCAUCAUAUAUUAUUUUGGUCAGUUAGAGGACCAACAUUAAGUUGACCCUUUCUAAUAAUUUUUGAAGAAAAAUGUUAAGUUGUACAUAUGUGGUAAUCUAGUUGACAUUGUGUAAUUUAAUAUGGUUUUUGACUCUCUCUCUCUC
rnacentral:lncRNA from 1 species